UACGGAGGAGGCAAGCGUUAUCCGGGAUUAUUGGGCGUAAAGCGUCCGCAGGUGGCACUUCAAGUCUGUCGUCAAAGACUGGGGCUUAAUCCUGGAAAGGCGGUGGAAACUGAAGCGCUAGAGUGCGGUAGGGGUAGAGGGAAUUCCCGGUGUAGCGGUGAAAUGCGUAGAGAUCGGGAAGAACAUCGGUGGCGAAAGCGCUCUACUGGACCGCAACUGACACUCAGGGACGAAAGCUAGGGGAGCGAAUGGG
rnacentral:rRNA from 1 species